rnacentral:rRNA from 1 species
UUACUGGGCGUAAAGAGCUCGUAGGUGGUUUGUCGCGUCGUUUGUGUAAGUCCACGGCUUAACUGUGGGAUGGCAGGCGAUACGGGCAUAACUUGAGUGCUGUAGGGGAGACUGGAAUUCCUGGUGUAGCGGUGAAAUGCGCAGAUAUCAGGAGGAACACCGAUGGCGAAGGCAGGUCUCUGGGCAGUAACUGACGCUGAGGAGCGAAAGCAUGGGUAGCGAACAGGAUUAGAUACCCUGGUAGUCCAUGCCGUAAACGGUGGGCGCUAGGUGUGAGUCCCUUCCACGGGGUUCGUGCCGUAGCUAACGCAUUAAGCGCCCCGCCUGGGGAGUACGGCCGCAAGGCUAAAACUCAAAGGAAUUGACGGGGGCCCGCACAAGCGGCGGAGCAUGUGGAUUAAUUCGAUGCAACGCGAAGAACCUUACCUGGGCUUGACAUACACCAGAUCGGCGCAGAGAUGCGUUUUCCCUUGUGGUUGGUGUACAGGUGGUGCAUGGUUGUCGUCAGCUCGUGUCGUGAGAUGUUGGGUUAAGUCCCGCAACGAGCGCAACCCUUGUCUUAUGUUGCCAGCACGUGAUGGUGGGGACUCAUGAGAGACUGCCGGGGUUAACUCGGAGGAAGGUGGGGAUGACGUCAAAUCAUCAUGCCCCUUAUGUCCAGGGCUUCACACAUGCUACAAUGGUCGGUACAACGCGUGUGCGACACUGUGAGGUGAAGCUAAUCGCUCUAAAGCCGGUCGUAGUUCGGAUUGGGGUCUGCAACUCGACCCCAUGAAGUCGGAGUCGCUAGUAAUCGCAGAUCAGCAACGCUGCGGUG